rnacentral:rRNA from 1 species
AUUGAACGCUGGCGGCAGGCCUAACACAUGCAAGUCGAGCGACCGUCGGAUGGGUCAGCAAUGUCUCUGAUACUGUUUGAUGGAGGGGGAUAACCAUUGGAAACGGUAGCUCAUCCCGCGUCCCAUUCGACCUGUGCAGAUGGGAUUGGCUCGUAGGUGGGGUAAUGGCUCACCUAGGCGACGCUCCCUAGCUGGUCUGAGAGGAUGACCAGCCACACUGGAACUGAGACACGGUCCAGACUCCUACGGUGGGCAGCAGUGGGGAAUAUUGCACAAUGGGCGCAAGCCGGAGGCAGCCAUGCGGCGUGUAUGAAGAAGGACUUCGGGUUGUAAAGUACUUUCAGCGUGGAGGCGUUACCCGCAGAAGAAGCACCGGCUAACGCCGUGCCAGCAGCCGCGGUAAUUC